UACAGAGGGUGCAAGCGUUAAUCGGAAUGACUGGGCGUAAAGGGCGAGUAGGCGGUUAUAUAGGUGUGGUGUGAAAGACACGGGCUCAACCUGUGAGUGUCACCGCAAACGGUAUGACUAGAGAGCAGUAGAGGGGAGUGGAAUUUCCGGAGGAGCGGUGAAAUGCGUAGAUCUCGGAAGGAACACCAGUGGCGAAGGCGACUCCCUGGACUGCAACUGACGCUGAGGCGCGAAGGCGUGGGGAGCAAACAGG
rnacentral:rRNA from 1 species